CCUGACGACAAUAGCGAGUGUGUACCACCUGAUCCCAUCUCGAACUCAGAAGUGAAACCACUCAGCGCCGAUGGUAGUGUGGGGUUUCUCCAUGUGAGAGUAGGUCAUUGUCAGGC
rnacentral:rRNA from 1 species